rnacentral:lncRNA from 8 species
AUGAAUUUGGAGGUGAGCGAGGGAUAUGAGACAGAGACUGUGACGGGAUUAAUGGGGAAAUUAGGAGAGAGAGAGAUGAGAGAGCUGCUAGUAUGGUGCAUUAAGUACGGCAUUCGCCCUAAUGAGCGUGUCGUGGGAAUGAUGUCACCUGAGGCAGCUCUCCAUACUCGUCCUGAGGUGCGUGCUGGUUGUCUGGUAAAGACUGUGCCUGCGCCCAGAAACAGGCCUCCUGUAUGUCUUCCCAGCCCUGCACGUCCUGUGCCUACGCCCAGAACCAAGCCUCCUGCAUGUCUUCCUAUCCUGGUCAAGCCUGUGUCUCCUCCACGGACCAGUACUCCAAUGGGUCUCCCUAUCCUGGUCAAGCCCGUGUCUCCUCCACGGACCAGUCCUCCAGUGGGUCUCCCUAUCUUGGUCAAGCCCGUUCCUCCUCCACGGACCAGUCCUCCAGUGGGUCUCCCUAUCCUGGUCAAGCCCGUGUCUCCUCCGCAGACCACUCCUCCAGUGGGUCUCUCCACCCUGGUCUCUCCUGUGCCACCUCCUCAAACCAGGCCUCCAGCGGGUCUUCCCAGACUGGUGAGUCCAGGGCCUGCGCCCAGAGCCAGGGCUCCGUUAUGUCUCUCCAGCCUGGUGAAUCCUGAGCCGGAACUGCCACAGUCACCAGAGCUGCCCGCCAGUCAACAGUCACCAGAGCUGCCCGCCAGUCAACAGUCGUCAGAGCUGCCCGCCAGUCAACAGUCGUCAGAGCUGCCCGCCAGUCAACAGUCGUCAGAGCUGCCCGCCAGUCAACAGUCGUCAGAGCUGCCCGCCAGUCAACAGUCGUCAGAGCUGCCCGCCAGUCAACAGUCGUCAGAGCUGCCCGCCAGUAAACAGUCGUCAGACUGCCCUGAACUGCCGGAGUGGCCAGACUGCCCUGAACUGCCGGAGUGGCCAGACUGCCCUGAACUGCCAGAGGUGCCCGCCUGCCAGGAUCUGCCAGGGUGCCCUGCCUGUCCUCCGGCCCAGCCCGAGUGGCCCUCCUGCCCUCCGGCCCAGCCCGAGGGGCCCUCCUGCCCUCCGGCCCAGCCCGAGGGGCCCUCCGGCCCAGCCCGAAGGGCCCUCCUGCCCUCCGGCCCAGCCCGAGUGGCCCUCCAGUCCUCCGGCCCAGCCCGAGUGGUCUGUCUGCCAGGG